rnacentral:lncRNA from 1 species
CCACUACCACCUCCUAUCCUCAAGCAUGGUAGACCAUUUGCCUUCAAUGCCCACUACAUUGUAAGGCAAGACAAGAAUGGCAAAGUCAAGAUUAACUUCAUGGGGCUACCCAGCAAGCAAAGGCCAAAGAAGAUUUGGGUGCCAAAGUCACUAGUGGAGAAGGUUAAGGGCCCUAAGCAAAUGUGGGUCCGCAAAAAUCAAGCUUUAUCUCUUGUGUGUGUAGGUGAACUACAAGACCGGUGGAUCAAAUUGGAUAAUUGAUAGUGGUUGCAUUCAACAUAUGACCGGAGAUCCCUGAAUAUUCACCUCACUCAAUGAAGAUGUGGACAAUCAAGAGAAGAUCACAUUUGGUGCAAUUCUAAAGGCAAAGUCAAGGGUUUGGGAAGAUUGCUAUAUCCAAUGAUAACUCCAUCACCAAUGUGCUCUGUGUGUCAUCUCUUAGUUUCAACUUGCUCUCUGUUGGAUAACUUUGUGAUCUUGGCUUCCAAUGUCUAUUCACCAAGAAAGAAGUGAUAAUGACCAAAGAGGAUGACAAUGAGAUGGUAUUCAAAGGCUUUCGCUACAACAAUCUAUAUCUUGUUGAUUUCUCCUCCGAAGAUGUAAACAUCAACACAUGUCUAUUCACCAAGACUUCACUUGGUUGGUUAUGGCAUAGAAGGCUAGCUCAUGUUGGAAUGGGCACACUCAAGAAGUUGAUGAAGAAGGAAAUGAUAAGAGUCUUGAAGGAUGUUACAUUUAAGGACAAAUUGUGUAGUGCAUGUCAAGUCGGCAAGCAAGUAGCAAAUACACAUACCAAGGCUUUUCUCUCUACCUCUAGAGUUCUUGAGCUUUUGCACAUGGAUUUAUUUGGACCUACUACAUAUGCUAGCCUUGGUGGUAACAAAUAUUGCUUGGUUAUAGUGGAUGAUUAUUCUUGAUACACAUGUACAUUCUUCUUGCAAGAUAAGGCCGAAGUUGCAUCAAUAUUCAAGAAGUUUGCAAAGAAUGCUCAAAAUCAAUUUGAGGUCAAGAUGAAGAAGAUUAGGAGUGACAAUGGCAAAGAGUUUGACAACACCAUCAUUGAAGAGUAUUGUGAUGAAGUUGGAAUCAAACAUGAGUUCUCCUCAACAUACACACCGCAACAAAAUGGGGUUGUAGAAAGAAAGAUCCGGGCAUUGAUCACCUUGGCAAGAACUAUGCUUGAUGAAUACAACACUCUGAGGAAAAUGUGGGCUGAGGCAAUCAACACCGCAUGCUAUGCUUCAAACCGACUCUUUCCUCAUAAGUUCCUAGAGAAGACACCAUAUGAGUUCCUCAAUGGGAAGAAGCGCGAUGUCUCAUUCUGUAGAGUGUUUGGGUGCAAAUGUUAUAUCUACAAGAAGCGCCAACACUUGGGAAAAUUCCAAAGAAGAUGUGAUAUUGGUUACUUGGUUGGCUAUUCAUCAAAGUCAAAGGCAUAUAGAGUCUUUAAUCAUGCCACAAACAUGGUUGAAGAAACAUUUGAUAUGGAAUUUGAUGAAACUAAUGGCUCCCAAGGAGCAAGUGAUAAUCUUGAUGAUGUAGGUGGUGAACCAUUGAGGGAGGCCAUGAAGAACAUUUCGGUGGGGGACAUCAAGCCCAAAGAGGAUGAUGAUGAAGUGCAAAUCCUUGAUGUGCCAUCCUCCUCACAUGUGCCCACAAGAUGAUGACAAGGAUGUGAGGGACACUCAUGAAGACACACAAGUCACUCAUGAACAAGUGGUGGCACAACCACAAGAUGUUGAUGCUCCCCAACCGACUCCUCAAGUGGUGCCAAGAAGAUCAUCACAUCUCCUCCAAGAUCACUCUCAAGAUCUCAUCAUCAGGAGUCCAUCAUGUGGUGUUACUACUCGUUCUAGACAUGCUUUAUUUAUUGAACAUCAUGCUUUUGUGUCUUUUGAAGAUAAACCCAAAACCAUAGAGGAAGCUCUUCGAGAUGCGGAUUGGAUCAUUGCCAUGAAAGAGGAGUUGAACAACUUCUCUCGCAACUAAGUGUGGACACUUGAAGAGCGACCUAAAGAUGCAAGAGUGUUUGGAACAAAGUGGGUCUUCCGGAACAACAAAGAUGAUCAAGGCAAGGUGGUGCGCAACAAGGCAAGACUUAUGGCGAAAGCGACAAGUGGAGGUUCUUGACUUCAGUGAAACCUUUGCAUCGGUUGCAAGACUUGAAGCUAUACAUAUCCUACUUGCAUAUGCUUCUAGCCAUAAUAUCAAAUUAUUUCAAAUGGAUGUGAAAAGUGCCUUUCUAAAUGGUUAUAUUAAUGAGCUUGUCUAUGUUGAGCAACCUCCCGGUUUUGAAGAUCCUAGGUACCCCAAGCAUGUCUAUCGGUUGUCCAAGGUGCUCUACGGUCUCAAACAAGCUCCUAGAGCUUGGUAUGAGAGGCCAAGGGACUUCCUUAUGGCAAAGGGCUUGAAGAUUGGGAAAGUUGACAUGACACUAUUCACCAAGAAGAUGAAUAGGGAAAUCUUCAUUUGCCAAGUAUAUAUUGAUGAUAUUAUUUUUGGCUCAACUAAUGAAGAUUUUUGCAAGGAAUUUGGUGAUUUGAUGUCCAAGGAGUUUGAGAUGUCCAUGAUUGGCGAGCUAUCCUUCUUCCUUAGGUUUCAAGUCAAGCAAAUGAAGGAAGGGGUCUUCAUCUCUCAAGAGAAGUACACUCAAGAUCUUCUCAAGAGAUUCAAGAUGCAAGAUUGCAAGCAAAUCAAGACUCCCAUGGCAUCAAAUGGGCAUCUUGACUUGGAUGAGGGAGGUAACCCAAUUGAUAAAACUCUCUAUCGGUCUAUGAUAGGUAGUUUACUUUACCUCACUGCAUCUAGGCCUGAUAUCAUGUUUAGUGUGUGUAUGUGUGCUAGAUAUCAAGCUAUGUCUAUGGAAUCUCACUUGAUUGUCGUCAAGAGAAUUCUUAGGUAUCUAAAUUACACGCCCUACCUAGGUUUAUGGUAUCCCAAAGGUGCAAGAUUCCAACUUGUAGGCUAUUCUGAUUCGGAUUAUGCUGGGUGCCGCAUUGACAGAAAUAGCACAUCCGGAGGGUGUCACCUUAUGAUGGAUGUCAAAGAAACAAAAUAGUGUUGCAUUGUCAACACUGAAGUGGAAUACAUUGCCGUCGGUGCUUGUUGUGCACAAAUACUUUAUAUGAAACAAACUUUGCUAGACUAUGGAGUAGUUCUAGGUAAAGUACCUUUGUUGUGUGACAAUAUAAGUGCCAUAAAACUUGCAAACAAUCCGGUACAACACACCCGCACUAAGCACAUAGCCAUCCAUCAUCACUUCCUUAGAGAUCAUGUCGCCAAAGGUGACAUAUCACUAGAGAAUGUGGGGACAAAAAAUCAAUUGGCGGAUAUCUUCACAAAACCACUAGAUGAAGCUAGGUUUUAUAUGUUACGAAAUGAACUCAAUGUGCUCGAUCUCUCUAACUUCACUAAAAAAUGAGUUUGUGUGUUGUUCUUGUACAUAGCUUUUGUAUCAUAUGUCAGGCUAAACUAAAAAUCCAAAAAGAUUAUGUGUAGGGCUUGUCUAACAUGGUUAAGAUAAUCGCCCAUAAAGCAUGUGAAAAAGCUUAACCUUGGAUCAAACUUGACAAGCAGUAGUUUACUUUCAAGUAAUGCAUUGCAUUGCAUAGCAUAUGCAUGUUUGUUUCUUAGUCGUUUCUUUUCGGUUAAGCUUUGAGCAUCAGCUGUGUUCAUCCAUUGAUAAGGGGAGCAUUCAACGCCCAUCUUGAUUAAGACCCCUAGCCAAUGGCCACAUGAUGUCUCCUCGGUGUUUUCUCUUGCCUAUUUUCAUAAAAACUACUUAGCCUAUGGCAAAUUAUUUGUGGAAAUUUGAGGGUUUGAGAGAUGUUACUCAUACCAGUUCCAAUUUGUGUUUAUUUGGCUCUUCUUUGUGUUGGAACUUGGUUGAGUGAAAGAGUCACGAAGUCUCGUUGAAAAUCCAAGGCUGGUGGUGCACCGGACUCUGCAGCGGACGCUGCACUAGACGCGCCUCAUGCAUCCGAUGAGUUGUUUAUGCUAGGGUGCACACAUCAGACCCACGCAUAGUAACAUGAGCGCAUCCAGCAUGGUGCGUUUGGUGUGACCCUAUUGCGACGUCUAUAGCAUCGGAUGCAAGGUGAGUGUCCGGUGACCUACGUCUAGUGGUCCCAUGAGUUUUACAAACUCUCUGCGUACAGGUCCGGUGCCCACAUAAGUGUGUCUGGUGUGACCGUGCGUGGCCUGUAUAAAUCUAAAUUGGACUCGCUUGAGGGCAUCCUCUCAUCUUCACAUUCACAUCUCGCUGAGCCACGCUGCCUCUCGCUGAACUCGCCGCAUUCUCGCCACCACCGCCGCAACGUUGCCCCAGCUGAUCCCUUCCCGCAUGUAGUCCCUCUCUCUACCACCGUUAAGUUUCACUUCCCUGCCCAUGGUGCCAGCUACCUUCCUCAUCGCGCAGUUAGGGUUUGGGUAAGCUUUUGCCUUCAUGCACGCGAGGUGUUCGACAGAAUUCCUGAACCGAUCGAAAUGAUGUUCUAACGUCGUUCUUCAUUCGAUUCUUCUUUACAGAGCCUUGGCAUGUGUUUCUUGGCAUCCUGUGGUUGUUGGAUCUCAUCUUAUCUUUAGGAAUAUCUCUCACCCAAUGUAGUAAGCCAUUUUCUUCUCGAUCUCUUAUCCAAUGCUUGCUUCCAUUAGGGCUUCGCUUCUCUAGAUGUAAUACUUGCUUACAUAUAUAUCCCAUCUAUUUCAUCUAUUACAGCGGGUGAGUCACUUUUGGCCAAUUGUCAGUGGCAGUAGAACUCAGGGCCAAGCCCACGAGUACGGAUUGAGGCCAAGCCUCACGAGUGUCAGUUCACCAUCUUUCUCAUGAGCAGUUUGGUAGUGUUGAUCUGAGAUCUAGUAAUGGCACGUUGCAAGAAUGUCGGUGGUGCUCCAGCUAGUUCUCCAGCAGGUGCCCAUGUGGUGAUUGGGGUGAUGAUAGACCCUGUCGUCUCACAGCUACAGAGAAAGGCAAGAAAGUUGUGAGUAAGAAAAGGAAGAUCACUGAUAGGGACACCGAGACAGCUAGGGCAGUAGGAGCCGCAGCUGAGGCAGUAGAGGCAGGUGGUCGUAGAGGCAUUCUUUAGAUUGGGUCUGAGCUUUCACCUGCACAGAGGCGUGCAGUUCUUCAGGUGGAGCAGCAACAUGGUACAGUUCCAGGCACAGUUAUCAUUGGAGGACGUCAUGUCCAUCUUUUGGAGAGAGAGAGUCUGGGACAGAGACUCAGGGGCCUCAUAGGCACACGCAGCUAGAGGAGCAGCUACUUAGGCAGUCGACUCGCGCUCGUACAUAGGCCACCACUAGGCCUGCUAUGCAGUGAUAGUUGUUGGCAGAUCUUAACGCGCACCGACUGGUGUAAGAUGUGACAAUUAUCUAGCAAUGGUGGCGCCUAACUAGCACUGCUUAAAUGCAAGCCUGAGCUGUUACUAGGAUAGGUUGUCAGGCUACUCUGAGCGACGGCUCUAGAAAUGCUAAGCAACGCUAAACUCUAGUGGUGACGCAAGAUGUACCAAGGGUAACUCUGCAAGCGCACAGGUACCGCUGUAGCACUUCAACCGUAGUGAGUAUCCGCGGUGUCGUAAUUUAUAGUUCACUCACGGGAAGCGGACUAAGACUCUCUAAUAAACAUAUUGGUGGAUAUCCGUGGUUUGUGUCUACUCAAUCUAAGUUCACUAGUGCUAACAGGGGGGUAAGAGUAGCAAGAUAGAAUAAUAGAUAAAUCAGAUAAAGGUAAGUAAAGAUAACUAAUAGCGAGCUAGCUAGGUGGGAGGACAACGAGUGAGUAAGGACUCCUAUGUAUCUAACUCUACUUCUGUGUUCUAAUCCUAAUCAAUGUAAAUGACUCAACUAGACUAGUAUCCAAACAGUCUUGUGUGGUGGAAGUCGACUGCAAUAGGAGGAUGAAACUCCUAUCCAAGCAGACUUUUGACUUAUGGGCGCCUAUAGACCGUACCCGACGUGAAUAGAACCUACUGGGAAGCAGAGGCCUGUCAUGCUUCGCCGCCGCUCACUAACACGUUUGAUAUGGUGGCAUCCACUAAUAAGCGCUAGCCUAUGCACCUCGCUUACAUUAGUCUUAUAACUUCAACUAUCACGUAAAUAGCCAAAACCCCUAAUGGUAGUGAAACACACACAAGGUGUUGAAGACACUAAUCUAACUAAGGCAGCUACACUAAUAAGACUAAGACACAACACUACUACAAGUAUAGUAAUGCACUAAGCAAUACUCAAAGUAAAGAGUUGAAGUAAGUACUUAGUAAAGUAAAGAAAGGCUAUAUUGAGAUAAAGAAUGUAAUACAAGAGAAAAGGUACAAGAGCUAUACUAGACUCUUCAGAAGAUAGCUCCGGAGACCCGAGCUUCGCUCGACUCGACUCUAACUCCCACUCUAGACUAGACUACACUACACUUGAUCUCCCAAGUGUGAUUUGGAAAUGAAAUAUGGAGAUGAGAGAUGGAAGAUGUCUUGGGAAGGUGGAGGAGCCCUCCUUAUAUAGGGGUGAGAGAGGGGGUACCACGUCAGCGAUCCGCAUGCUCCUUCCUUCUCCACCCUUGGAUGCACCGACCUCCCAACCAUCUUAGAUGGACGGUUGGGGCACUACCACACUUGGUAAAUGUGACGAAGGUUGGUGGGAGUGAACCGACUCCAAAUGGGGCCCACCUGUAGGUCGGCCGACCUGCCAUCUAGAUGAUAGUGGGUCGCACUGACCUUUUGGAAGGUCCUUAGGUCGGUGGGAGGCUGGGCUAGGUGGCAUGACCCAAUUGGUCGGUCGACCGACCGACCUUUGGGGCUCGUGGCCCACCACUGGCCUCCUGGUGGUGUUCCCACUUGUCAUGUGAAGUGUUAUCCAAAGUUGAGUCUAGUUGCACACUUUCUUGCUUCCAUGUGGGCCCAAGGAUCCAUGUGCUAAGUGUUUGAACCGUUGAGGGCAAGCACACUUGGAUCCAAGGGUUGGGAUUGACUCCUUGGAGUAUGCCAUGGCUCAUGCCAUGGAGGGGAGCCCCUGGUGGGCCCAAACCAUGGUUGGCCGACUGAGGUUAUGGGUCCCAUAGGGCUCAUUUCCUUCUUCCCUGCAUUGAACAAGCUAAGAGUACAAGUGGAAAUUUAUUAGUGAUAAAUAUGUUCAUGUGAUGCUUAUCUUCCUUCAAUCGAGGACUGUUGAUGGGCUUUUGAGUAUAUAGAACUAGGUCUUAUUUUCCGUCAACAAUAGUCACAGCCCCUACCUAGCUCCUCACCACCACCUAGCUCCUCACCGCCUCUAGCUCGUCACGUGGACUACACCAAAGCCGCCACACGAUAGGUUCAGGAGUUGAGGUUUGCAGCUUUCCUCACUUGGUUUCCUACCACUCAAGAUGAGAGAGUGUUGACGGUCCUUAAGUAUCAAAUUUAAUUAUCAAAUAAAUAAAGAAAAGGAUCCAAAUGAAAUCAACAUCUAGACUUAGGGUUUUAUCUGACAGAAUUCCACGAGUUUUGGUGUUUGUCUAUUUCUGCAGGGGGUUAUCAGGAAAUAUGAAAGAAAGGCCCACAUGUCAGGAUUACGUAAAGAUAUUAACGUGCUGCGCAAUUAUCUUACAUCUAGAAGACUCCAGAAGCCACGAGACCGAAGCGGAGGCGAAACGGGGCCAGAGGCAGGGCGCCCGCCCUGUCCUACUGGGCGCCCGCCCCCUCCAGGAGUCCAAUCAGGACUCUACUUUGCGGGAGAUCUCCACCGACCUAAAGGAUGAAUCUAAACCAUACAAUCUAUGUCGGUUUGAUCCAAUGGCCCAUAUUCACUUGAAGGGACUAUAAAACCAGACCCCCUGGCCCCUAGAGGAGAGAGCCUCUCAACCCUAAUUCAUUGUUCCAUCAAGGGAGAAGAAGCCUCUGAUCAAGAUUAGAGCCACCACAUCAAUUAGAUAUCUAGAUUAGCAUAGCUACAUAGGAUUAGAACUAGAAGGAGUCAAUCUUCGAUUGGUUUCCGGAUCUGUCAAGAGGAUUCUUGGUAAUUCUCUAAUUGUGCUUCUAAUUGCUUUCUAAUUAUCUUUGUUCUUCAAUAUUAUGAAUAUGACUUUGUUCUACUUCAAUAUAUUGCUUAUGACUUUGCUCUACUUGCUUAUAUUCAAGAUUAUAUUGUUCUUAGUUUAUCAUAGUUAUGUACUUGGCUUAGUUAGAUUGGAUCUAUAUACAUGCUUAGGAUCGUAUAGCGUUUAUCCAUCGGAUCCAUGGGUAAAUGAUAGAUAUUGUGUAGGCGUGGUGCUUAUACCGUAUUUAUCUGCGAUUGUACCCAAUAUGCCAAAUCGUGGGGUGGUUCGUGAUAGUGACAGCUUCAUUGAUUCUUAUAUAGUCCCCCUCUCGUGUAUUGGGCUGGCAGAGCAACAUUAUUACAGGGGAGUGAUUGCUAUGUUUCUCAUAUUCCUUGCUAAUAUCACUAUGCAUGGGCGUAGUCUUGUCUCACAAUGAUUGCUAAGUAUGCUUGCACUAACUAUGAUAAUGCUAGACUAUAUAGUUGAUAAUAACUUAGGGAAUAUUCUUGUAGUUCGUUCUAAUACCGUGCUAAUGACUUUCUAGUGUAUCUAAUUGAGGUGUUUAUCAUAUUUAUUAUGUGGCUAGAUCAGAUUAGUUAUCCUUGUCACUAUUAUUAUUUCAUAUAUCUUUUAUGUGACACUUAUCCCUGUAUGAGAAGUUAGAUAUAAUGUUCUCAAUUAUACAUGCAAUGAUAGAUGCUCAAUCUCAUAUUCUAUUCUGUAAUCAUUAGUGAUGAUUUCUAAUCCCUUCCCAGUGGUAAAAAUAUUAAAUAACGAUACCUAGAAUACUUCCCGGUUAAAAUGCUACAUCGGUAUUAAUCUGUGCGCUUGCAGAUCCAAUUCAUUAUUUAUUUAGAAGAGCAAUUGCAUAUUUCAAUACCGCGUCUCUUAUAUCAUGCUGGGGAUGACAACUUGGCUUAAGUGGUGUGAGGGAUAGGUUUGACAUUUUUGGCACCGUUACUAAAUUUAGAGAACUUAGUCUACUUUUGGUAAUGAUGUUAAGAAUACCCAACAAGCAUUUUUGGCGCCGUUGCCGGGGAAGGUUGAUUACUAAUCAGGAAUGGAAUAAAAGAUUUUGAGUUAUCAUUCGCAUCACUAAUAUGAUUGAGCUUAUCUAUUCUCUCAUACAGUUUUACCCCGAUAUUUUUCUAUUUUAUCUUAUGCAGGGGAAUGUAUGAAUAGAAGACAUCUUCCAGGAAAUUUUGUUGAUAAUCCCGAAGCAUUAUUCAAGAAGAAGAGAGCAAAGCUCAAGAAGAGAUCAUCAACAUUUCAGCAAGAAGCUUUAUCCAAUCAAGAAGAUCACCGGAACUUGUCUUCAGAGUUUGAGGCCAUGGCGAACAAAUCAAUCCGUGAGUUCUCAGCUCCCACUACGGACAACAUCCGCACUGGACCUGCUGCAGAGAUCGAUGGCAACUUUGAGCUCAAGCCUGGACUUAUCAACAUGGUGCAAUCCAACCAGUUCUGUGGGAAGGCACACGAAGAUGCUAGUGCUCAUUUACAACACUUCCUGGAGAUUUGCAACACAUUCACCAUAGCAGGAGUUUCCAAAGACGCUAUACUACUUCGCCUCUUCCCAUUCUCACUGUUAGGAAGAGCGAAGCAGUGGUUCUACGCUACAAAGGAGAAGAAUACUACGUGGGCACUCUGCUCAACAAACUUUCUGGCUAAGUUCUUUCCUAUGGGCAAGACCAAUGCUCUCCGUGGGAAGAUUACAAGUUUUCAGCAACAAAAUGAUGAAUCUGUUCCAGAAGCAUGGGAGUGCUUUCAAGACUACAUCCUAGAAUGUCCCCAUCAUGGAAUGGAGAGUUGGCUACUGAUGCAGACAUUCUAUCAUGGGCUCAGCAACAGUGCCCGAGAGACCAUGGAUGCUGCAGCUGGAGGAGCAUUCUUAUCACUUACUAUACCACAAGCCACAGCUCUUGUGGAGAAGAUGGCGUCCAACCAAAGCUAGAAUGAAGAGAGGACCCAGACACGCAAGAGAGGUGGAGGUAUACAUCAGCUGAAGGAGGUAGACAUGCUGUCUGCAAAGCUAGACCUGCUCAUGAAGAAGCUCGAUGAUAGAGCUGGAGACAAGAAAGAAGUUAUGCACAUCUACGACUCUCACAUGACUUGUGAGGAGUGUGGAGACACUGGACACUCAGGCAACCACUGCCCUGAGAUACUUGAGGAUGUGAACUACAUCAACAACAACUACUACUACUACUACAACCGUCCUCAACAAAAUCAAGGUUGGAAUCAACAGAGGCCUAACUACUCAGGUAAUUAUCAAGGUAACAAUUCUUACAACAAUAAUAAUAAUUUCCCACCUUUGAGGGAGUUAGUGUCUAAUCAAGGAAAGCUAGUGGAUAACCUAUCCAAGAAAUUGGCAUCUAAUGAUAAAAUGCUAGAAAAUAUAAAUAAUAGAAUGGAUAAUUUUUCUACUGCCAUCAAGAAUCAAAUUAGCUGUAAUAAAAUGAUUGAAUCUCAGUUAAAUCAAAUAGCUGCUGCUGUUCCUACUACUAACCCCGGUAUACCAUUACAACCGGAAGGAUUAGAAUCUGUAAAUCUUGUAGACAUGUUUGAUGCAGGUAAUUGGAGUAACCUCAUCAAUGAAUUCUCUACUGACCUUCUGCCGGUCAAGAGAGGCGAUCCAGGACGCCCCGUCAUCCCGAUCUCCAUCGGCAUGGUGGACGUUCCAGAAGCACUAUGCGACUUUGGCUCUAGUGUCAACAUUAUACCCAGGGUACUUUAUGAAAAAUUCUUUACAUAUCCUUUAUUAGAAACAACCAUGUGUUUGCAGUUUGCAGAUCAGACGAUAACUUUUCCAAAAGGAAUAGUGAAGAACCUUUGUGUCCGAGUUGGUACCUUAUAUGCCCCAGCAGACUUCGUAGUGGUAGAGACCGGAAAUGAUGAGAGAGCACCUAUCAUCCUAGGGAGGCCAUUUUUGAACACCACGGGAGCUAUCAUCUACGCCAGUGCUGCCAAGAUCAGUUUCUACGUCAAAGGGAAGAAGGAGACAUUUUUCUUCAAGAACAAGACUACACAAAUUCAAGAUCAAUCCAGACGUAAAUCAAGGAAGAGGACCAACAGGAAAAACAGGAACAAGCAAGUGUGGACCGAGUCAGCUAAGAUGGUCACUGUAGUCCAUGGAGGCCAAGAUCACCAACUUAAGUCACCGUCUUUGACAAAGAAGGACGACCCAGGAAUGCCAAGCAUUUACUGCUCCAUAAAUGGAUACAACUUCUACAAGACGAUUUGCGACACCGGAUCAGGCGUCAACAUAAUGGCCGCAGUCACCUAUCGGCUCUUGUUCGGAACCAUGCCACUAAGACCAACAUACAUUCAGCUUCAGAUGGCAGAUCAGACAUUUCGAGAAGUCAAAGGAAUAGUAUCUGAUGUCCCAGUCAAAAUAGACGAUCACUUUGUCUACACAGACUUUCAAGUUAUUGACAUGGGAGAAGACGAGUAUGAUCCACCCAUCAUCCUUGGAAGACCGUUCCUCAGCACCGUUAAAGCAAUUAUCUACAUUGGAACCGGAGAAGUCCAUAUGCACUUCCCCUCAGAGAAGGUACGCCGUUAUUUUACUGACCCUAACUAUAUCGUUGAAGAAUCUAAGCAGGUCAGAAAGAGACGCAACCGCAACCAGAGGAGGCAGAUCAUCAAGGACGGAUGGGCAGACUAUGAAGGAGAAGUUAUAAGGUCAGAAGACGUAGAGUUUAAACAGAAUUAUCCAGAGGAGAUUAAAGCACCAAGUCAGGUAUGGAAAAUGAAGAUAACUAUACAAGAAGAGGAGGCGCUGCCGGAAGCACCGACUACGCCACCCAACGAACCUCAGGACAAUUGAGAAAAUGGAGAGUCCCGUUCGGAGGACUUAAAAACACCGAACGCCUUGCCAAGAGGUAAACUUGGUAGUUAUCCUUUCCCUUUCAAUUAUUUCAAAUAGUUACUUAGUUAAUUAAGUUCAUACUAUCUUAAAAAGAAAAUAAAAAUGUGAAAAAUAGUAAGCCCCAUGUGAGUAGACGAGUUGCAUAAAACCCAUAAGUACAUUCACUGUGGUGGCAUAAAAAUAAAAUAAAUAUUUUUCUGCUUUAUAAACAAAAAUAUAAAAACAGGGAGUAAUAUUUUCUAAGGAGUCUCAACAUGAAAAAGGCUAGAUAUUUAUGCUAACACUUAAUCAGUUCCACAAGCUUUGUUGUCUAUUUGAGCUCCACAGAAUUUAAGAAUCAAGAAGACUAGCAGACGGAGGACAUUCUAAUCGCUGUCAGAAUGCUGCCGACUUUCAAAUACACCUCCGCCACCUGUUAGCUACAUCAAGAGAAAUUACGUCAAAAUUCAGCUUGGGGGAGAGCACCCCCAUUUAUCCCGAUAAGUAUUUCUAUCUAUCUUUAUACUUAUACUAUAUUAGAAUAUUAAAAUACAAAAACUAGGAAAAACCAAAUAAAGAUUUUAUGCUUAUAUAUAUAUAUAUAUAUAUGUCUUUUUGCUUAGUGUGUUUAAUAAAUAAAUAAAGUGACUAUGUUAAUCUGUAUCUAAAUAAAACUUAAGCAUGGAUAUGAUAAAUAGUUGCUCUGCCUAAUUUGUAAAUUUUAAGUUCUCUCUCAAGUUUAGAUAUAACUGUUAUAAUUGAAAGCUUGCUCUAGACCUAAACUUGUGGGAUGAAAACUUGAUCUGAAGUCUAAGUUGUUAACGGAUAUGAUAUGGGAAGGUUGAGCUGCUGUUUAUCUGUUCCUAGAGAUGCUAGAAUUCUGGAGAAUUUUAUCUUUAAAAAUCUUUAAAAUGUUGCAUGAUGAGUUCCUGUAUGAUGAGAGUUUAAAUUCCUACCACAGCCAUAUAUGCAUGCUUGCUAGACUUUGAGCCACACAUUUAUUUACUGCUUAUGAGCAUUGAGUGUGGUCAAGCUGUGUUGACCCUUAGGAGCUUGUCAUGUGGUUAAAUCAAGAUUUCACUUGCACGUUCACUCAUAUAUGCUACUUCUACUCCGGAAGUACCAUCCACAUAUAUUCACCCAUUCCAUCUCCAGAAUUACCCAAAAAUAUUCUACUCCUAAUCUGGGAGAGAAUAACCAAAAAUAUUUCUGUUUUCCCCUUGUGAAAUAAAUGCUCAAGUUAUCUUGUUACUACCACUUGCUAUAUUAUCUCAAGAGAUGAAUGCUCUGGAAAAAAAAGAAGAAAAAAAAGAAAAAAAAUAUACGAGGAAAUAAAAAGGAGCAAGUGCUCGGAACCUCGAAAGAAAAGAAAAGUGAGACGAGAGGUAAAAAUGGACAAGUGUCCGACAGUAGAAUUAGGGGUACAAGAUACCCACCUGAGAGAAAAGAAAAAUAUAGAGCAUCUCAUUCUCCUCAUAAAGUUUCAAAAAGCAAGGAAGGUAUGUAACCCCUCAAAAGAGCAAAAGUAGAAUUAGACUUCCACCUCCAUUGUUUUCACCAUUGUUAUCACCAUCAUCACCAUACACCAUUCAUUCGCCACACAUGCACAUCUUGAUUAAACUUAUUGACUUGUUACUUUAGAUCCAUGGUUUGACUAUGCAAUAAAUGUCUUGUAAGUAUGUAUACUUUAUCUCCCACCUAUGAGCUCCAGAUAUUAAAGCCUUAUUAGAGUAGGAUGAGAGAGUAGGCAAUGUCACUAUGCCUCAUACCACAAAUACCACAUAUCUUGAGAGAAGGCAUAUACCAUCACUGCCUUGGUAAGGAUCCAAAAAUACCACAAAAGAGAGACCUGAGAGAAUCAUACAAGGAAUUUCUGAGUUUUAUUUGAAAAUCUGCAAAAACCCUAGAGUUAUAGCUGAUCAAGAAUAAGAGACAUGGCACUUGGCUAGACUGUUCUAUCUUUUAACCACUCAAGACAGAAGUGACGGUUACAAGUCCCAUGGUGAAGGUAAAGUAAGUAAGUUUUAAGUCUUGACAGUUUACUCUAACUCAGAGAUGAGGUCUUAUUUAAAAGCAUGUGUACCGUCAAUUUUUUUAAAUAUUGCAACAACUUAUGAUCCAUAGCUGAGUCUAUCCUUGCUCAGGGACGAGCAAGAGGUAAGCUUGGGGGAGCUUGUUGAUGGUCCUUAAGUAUCAAAUUUAAUUAUCAAAUAAAUAAAGAAAAGGAUCCAAAUGAAAUCAACAUCUAGACUUAGGGUUUUAUCUCACAGAAUUCCACGAGUUUUGGUGUUUGUCUAUUUCUGCAGGGGGUUAUCAGGAAAUAUGGAAGAAAGGCCCACAUGUCGGGAUUACGUAAAGAUAUUAACGUGCUGCGCAAUUAUCUUACAUCUAGAAGACUCCAGAAGCCACGAGACCGAAGCGGAGGCGAAACGGGGCUAGAGGCAGGGCGCCCGCCCUGUCCUACUGGGCGCCCGCCCCCUCCAGGAGUCCAAUGAGGACUCUGCUUUGCGGGAGAUCUCCACCGACCUAAAGGAUGAAUCUAAACCAUACAAUCUAUGUCGGUUUGAUCCAAUGGCCCAUAUUCACUUGAAGGGACUAUAAAACCAGACCCCCUGGCCCCUAGAGGAGAGAGCCUCUCAACCCUAAUUCAUUGUUCCAUCAAGGGAGAAGAAGCCUCUGAUCAAGAUUAGAGCCACCACAUCAAUUAGAUAUCUAGAUUAGCAUAGCUACAUAGGAUUAGAACUAGAAGGAGUUAAUCUUCGAUU